rnacentral:rRNA from 1 species
UAGGGAAUCUUCGGCAACGGGGGCAACCCUGACCGAGCAACGCCGCGUGAGUGAAGAAGGUUUUCGGAUCGUAAAGCUCUGUUGUAAGAGAAGAACGUGUGUGAGAGUGGAAAGUUCACACAGUGACGGUAACUUACCAGAAAGGGACGGCUAACUACGUGCCAGCAGCCGCGGUAAUACGUAGGUCCCGAGCGUUGUCCGGAUUUAUUGGGCGUAAAGCGAGCGCAGGCGGUUUAAUAAGUCUGAAGUUAAAGGCAGUGGCUUAACCAUUGUUCGCUUGGGAAACUGUUAAACUUGAGUGCAGAAGGGGAGGGUAGAAUUCCAUGUGUAGCGGUGAAAUGCGUAGAUAUAUAGAGGAACACCGGUGGCUAAAGCGGCUCUCUGGUCUGUAACUGACGCUGAGGCUCGAAAGCGUGGGGAGCAAGCAGG